CCCUACGGGAGGCAGCAGUGGGGAAUAUUGCACAAUGGGCGAAAGCCUGAUGCAGCAACGCCGCGUGAAGGAAGAAGGGUUUCGGCUCGUAAACUUCUAUCAACAGGGACGAAAGAAAUGACGGUACCUGAAUAAGAAGCCCCGGCUAACUACGUGCCAGCAGCCGCGGUAAUACGUAUGGGGCAAGCGUUAUCCGGAUUUACUGGGUGUAAAGGGAGCGCAGGCGGCCUGGCAAGCCUGAUGUGAAAAACCGGGGCCCAACCCCGGGGCUGCAUUGGGAACUGCCAGGCUGGAGUGCCGGAGAG
rnacentral:rRNA from 1 species